UUAUAUCCCUGUUAAUUAUGAACUGUAGGUAGCCUUAUUAUCCUCUGUUAAUUAUGAACCUGUAGGUAGCCUUAUAUCCCUCUGUUAAUUAUGAACCUGUAGGUAGCCUUAUAUCCCAAAGUAUGAUUGAUUAACAUAUUUUCUUAAAUAUACGUUUUUCCUUUUAAAGCAUCCUCUGAUUGAUCAA